rnacentral:lncRNA from 1 species
ACAUUAUGAUCUUUUGAGAAGUAAAAAAUAAAACACCCAGGUAGAUGGAUAGGAGACGGGAAGAAGGAAGAACCUUGAUGGGAUCAUUUGUACUUCAAACCUCAGUGUCACACAAUAUACUCAUGUAAAAAAACCUGCACAUGUGCCCCCUGAAUCUAAAGUAAAAGUUGAAAUUAUAAAAAUAUAUAUAUAUAAAAGAAAAUGUGGCACAUAUACACCAUGGAAUACUAUGCAGCCAUAUAAAAGGAUGAGUUCAUGUCAUUUGUAGGGACAUGGAUGAAGCUGGAAACCAUCAUUCUGAGCAAACUGUCACAAGGAUGGAAAACCAAACACCGCAUGUUCUCACUC